AUUCCAGCUCCAAUAGCGUAUAUUAAAGUUGUUGCAGUUAAAAAGCUCGUAGUUGAACUUUGGGCCCGGUUGGCCGGUCCGAUUUUUUCGUGUACUGAAUUUCCAACGGGGCCUUUCCUUCUGGCUAUCCUUGAGUCCUUGUGGCUCUUGGCGAACCGGGACUUUUACUUUGAAAAAAUUAGAGUGUUCAAAGCAGGCGUAUUGCUCGAAUAUAUUAGCAUGGAAUAAUAGAAUAGGACGUUUGGUUCUAUUUUGUUGGUUUCUAGGACCAUCGUAAUGAUUAAUAGGGACGGUCGGGGGCAUCAGUAUUCAAUUGUCAGAGGUGAAAUUCUUGGAUUUAUUGAAGACUAACUACUGCGAAAGCAUUUGCCAAGGACGUUUUCAUCA
rnacentral:rRNA from 1 species